UGAUAAGCGUGCCUUUGGAUUUAAUUGUUCAUCAACCAACCUGCCAUUGUCUUAACAAUACAGAUUGCAACAGUGCAACGGGGCGAUGUUAUUUCGAAUUAUGCGCCUUUGGUUGGCAAGGUCCAAGAUGUGAUGAAGAACAGAAUAUUUUGAGACAUUUAGAUGUGCAGACAGACAUGUCAUCAGCAUUCCUUAACUGGACAUCAAAUCUCGCAAUCGAUGGAAACAUUGGUCCAAAACCUGACGUUUGCAAUUGCUGUAGCGGCACAAUGAAUAUUCCCAAAUAUCCUGGUGGACAGUUGAUUUGGGAAAACGGUAUCCUAUUAAUAGUGUUACUGUGUUCAGUACAGAUUCUGGUAAGUUGGAACGUGGUACGUCAGAUAUGCUUGAUAGAAAUAUAACAAUGAACAUCAUUUUAAAUCAUAAAAAUUAAAAUGAUAAUAUUCUGUAAACAUAUAUUUAUAAUGAACAGUCUUCUGUUUGAUAAACAUAUACUAUUCUAAUUAUAUUCAUUCUUUGAUCUAGUUAUUGUUUCCAAUUCCGUGUCGUUUUAUUGUUGCCUCAUAGAUCAGUUAUAUCAGCAACUCGCCGAUGUUGAGCUAUAUCUUGCUAACGAUACUGGACAACACUCGUUUCACCUGGUUGGAAAUAGCACACGAAGGAUUGAUGGAAAUAAACACGUCCUUACAUUUUCAAAUAAACUGACAAGAUUCAUUAAGAUUCAGAGACCAGGUGUCCUUACACUGUGCGAAGUGAUCGUAUCUGAAGGGGAAUGUCAGGUGGGGACAUUUGGUGAAGAAUGCUCCGAGAUAUGUCACUGUGCUGAUGAACGUGCAUGUGAUAAAACAAGUGGAUAUUGUCAGUCAGAUGCAUGUAAAUCUGGUUGGAUCGGUAAAUCAUGUAACCAAGAAUGUCCAAAGAACAGAUUUGGUGACCGAUGUAGUGAGACUUGUUUUUGUGCUGAAGGUACAUGCACUACUAACUAUGGGGUUUGUCAGAACGGUUGUCAACAAGGAUACACUGGCUCUCUUUGCAAUCAAG